UAGUGUGGCUCAAUAAACAGGAAGGAAUCAUUAAAGAAGCAGGACCCAUAGUCAAAAACUGAUAACAGGCAUGCGUCAGAAAACAGGAAGAAAACAGAAAAAGAAAUCAAGGCUCAGUAUUGCACACAGCAACACUUCACAUCGAAGAAUGGAGAUGCCAUUCAUUGGUGUAAAUAACCAAAACGAAUGAAGGGCUGAACACAGAAAAGGUGCACACAUUAGGGAAACAAACCAAUGAUAAUACAGGGAUAGAGACAGGAAUGGAACAAAAAAAAAAAGCACAUGGCUAUAAAAUAAACAAAAGCAUGUGGGAAAUGAAAAACAACAGCGAGCAGCACUUCAUGAUAACUUAUCUAUAUCCUGCUUACUCAUUCUUUUUUUAACUUUUUAAACUUUUUUAACUUUUAACUGCUUGGAAGUCAUCAUCAUUCAGACCGUAUCGUGCACGCUUUCACUUAAAGAAGCACAGAAGCUAAUGAGAUAUUUUUCUGAGAUGUUGUACUUUGCCUAUUGGAGAUCUUAAGGAGUGUUCCUCCGUUUCCUCAUUUUCCAGCUAUCAGACUUUAAGGACUUCCUGAAUUCUCGAGGUUAAAGGUAAGUGUGUACCUCACCUGUCCUGUAGCUCCACGUUUGAUAAAUGCUUAAAGGUUUAGGUUACUGUUGAACUAAUAAGCAAGAACCUGUUUUAGCUUUUUAAACAUUUGCAUUCGAAUAGAAAGCUUCCCGAACUUGUACUCCUCUCAAAGGCCUUUGUGCAUCAGACUUGAAAAGUCAGAAAGGUCGCUAUCCGCUUUCUUAUCUCCGACAGCGUUGUGCUUCAAAGCAGCAGCGCAGCUCUGAAUAAGUCUCAAAACACCCACAGAUUCGCUGCUCUUUUUUCCAGUGAACUAAGAAAGUCUGCAUGAAUAAUGGACUCUGGUUUUUCCCUCUUUUUAACAGUCAGUUCCUUCUGUUCAUAUUUAAAUUAUAAUAACUUGGUAGAGAUUAAUUUUGUGGUUUUUCUCAGAGACUGUGAUUAACAUUUCUUUCCCCACUCCGUAAAUAAAGUCGACAGUGAACUCUCGGCUUGCGGCGUGAACUGUUUGAGGAGUUUUGGAGCAGCCUGCGGUCAGCCCGAGGCAGAAUCACACAGAUUUGGCUUUUGGGGGAAAAAAACAGUUGGUGCCAUCCAAACUGGCUAAAGCUCAGAGGAAAGACAGAGAGCAGGAAUUUGUUUUUUGGAUUACAGUAAUGUCCUGUCUCUACAGGCUUUGUGUUUGAUUAUCCAGUGAUUUAGGAUGGCGAGAGUGUCUUCAUUUGGGAUUUCAGAAUCACCAGACACUGGGUUUUACUCCACAUGAGCUCAUGAAGAGAUCAGAAGCCUUCAACACAUUCCAGAUGUCCUCUUUCUCCAGACUGGACAAAAGCAACACAGAGAUUAAACCACAAAUGCUGCCGUCCUGAAUCGCUACUGCUGGAGAAUCUGACGAUCUGGAUCACAGUGAAAUACACACCGCACCUCAGACGACAACACAUGACGAAGAUUACGAUUAUCUUCAGCCACACUUCCGAAGGAGACAUUCAGAGAAUCUUUAGUGUGAGUUCCCGAGCGUGUGGACUGCGUUUCCUGCUCAUGAGCUCCUCAAACCUCCAACAGGUUCCAGAUUUCUUCACCCGUAACAGUGACUUCACCUAAAUCUCAGAGUCUCCUGCACUGAAAGGGUGUCUCUCGUAAAAUGGAUGGAAAUAUCGACAGAAGCGCGAGACGAGAUGCAAUCUCAGGUCAAGCGUCGAGUGUGAACGCAAUGGUGCGUAAAUACCUGACAGCGACGUCCCAUAAUCCUCAGCUCCACCCUCACAGCACUGCAGAUGCCCCGUAACUCUCCGUUCUUACUCCUGAGAGUGGAGUGCAAAAGUUUGUACACCCUUUGAUUCUGACUGGGUGGAGAAAAUAAACUUAACCUCAAAAAAAAUAGAAUUAUGGAGUGGUGAAAAUGAAAUGUGGGUGUGUCCUGGAACAAGAUGAAACCUUGUGAUGAAAUUCAGCAGAAAACUGUUUUUGAGAAGAAUCAAAUGUUUUCCAGACUGGAUCUUGAAAUUUAGUUUUUUGUUGUUGUUUUUUUUUUUACUAUUAAUAUCUUAACAUACACUAUUUGAUUGUUUGUGUAAAUAAAUAAAUAAAUAAAUAAAUAAAGGAACAUCUGUAAAACUAUUACACUUACAAUAUACCUAAAGUUUUCCAUCAUGUAAUGGACCUUAAUGGGAAUUGGCUUAAUGGUUUCCAUCACGUUCCUGAAGGCUUCCAUUAGGAAUUCAAAGGUAGAUGGUAGAGGACCAUCAGAAUGAACUCAGAUUAAAAUUACACAUCAUUGUGUUCCAUUAAAUACCAUUAAAUACCACUAGAAACACA